ACCAAUUCUGGGGGAUUAUCAGUUCCUCUUGGCAUAAUGACUCGGGUGCUAGAACCAUAUUU
rfam:Populus trichocarpa isolate Nisqually-1 chromosome 5, whole genome shotgun sequence.